UACGUAGGGGGCAAGCGUUGUCCGGAUUUAUUGGGCGUAAAGAGCGUGUAGGCGGCCCGACAGGUCCGUUGUGAAAACUCGAGGCUCAACCUCGAGACGUCGAUGGAAACCGUCGGGCUAGAGUCCGGAAGAGGAGAGUGGAAUUCCUGGUGUAGCGGUGAAAUGCGCAGAUAUCAGGAAGAACACCCGUGGCGAAGGCGGUUCUCUGGGACGGUACUGACGCUGAGACGCGAAAGCGUGGGGAGCGAACAGG
rnacentral:rRNA from 1 species